CUAUAUAAAAAGAACUAUUUUUAAGGUUUCUGAGAUAGGACACGUCAGCUAAAAUAUUCCCAACCUAUUAAAUCGACAGCUUAGCAUCAUAUUUACCCGCCACCCUUCUUUUCAUUUACGACACUAAAAUGAAUUGGGCGGAGCCUUUAUAUUAUAAUUGAGGUUCUGUUUUGCAGGCCCAUAAUCAAGCCAUAAUUACAUGUAAAGUCAACAAUAACUGUACAACGACUCAUGGACUUCAUCUUCUUUUUCCUAUCUAAAACUUCCCUGCCAUUUACACCUUCUC
rnacentral:lncRNA from 1 species